rnacentral:lncRNA from 1 species
CGACAAAGAGGGGAUCGGGAAUGGGGAUGGUCCGGGAAAAACGGGAAUGGCACAUGGGGAAUGGGAAUGGUCCCGGAAAAAACGGGAAUGGUCACGGGAAAAACGGGAAUGGCACACGGGGAAUGGUCACGGGAAAAACGGGAAUGGCACACGGGGAAUGGUCCGGGAAAAACGGGAAUGGCACCCGGGGAAUGGUCACGGGAAAACGGGAAUUCAACACGAGGAAUGGUCCCGGGAAAAACGGGAGUUUCAUCCCGGGAAUGCCGCACGGGGAAUGGGAAUGCUCCCGGGGAAACCGGGAAUGCCGCACGGGGAAUGGGAAUGCUCCUGGGAAAAAUGAGAAUUCCAUCACAGAAUGGGAAUGCUUCUGGGAAAAUGGGAAUUUCAUCUGGGGAAUGGGAAUGAUCCCAGGAGAACCGGGAAUUCCAUCCCGGGAAAACCGGGAAUGCGACACAGGGAAUGGGAAUGCUCCAGUCCCGGGAAAAGCGGGACUUUCAUCUGGGGAAUGCUCUGAUCCCAGAAAACCGGGAAUUCCAUUCCAGGAGUGCUCCGGUGCUGGAAAAGCAGGAAUCCCACCCGGGGGGGUUGGGAAGAGCCGCUGGCUCCGUGCUGAGGGGACAGCGGGCAGGGAGGGAGGGAGGGACCCCGGAAGGAGUCGGGACAUCCCCAAAUCCCAAAAUGCCACCGCUCAUCCAGAGAAGGGUCACCUCUCCCUGGGACAGCCCCAAACCCACGGGAUGAUCCUGGCCCAUCCCAGACCUCAGGGUUUGGAUCCUCCAGCUGAUUUGGGAUCAGAAUUCCCAAAAUCCCACCCCAUCCCAAAAGGAGUCCCCUCCCUGCUGAUCCCGGUCCCAUCCCAGACCUCAGGGUUUGGAUCCUCCUCCAGCAGAUUUGGCAUCAGGGUUCCCAAAAUCCCACCCCUCAUCCAGGGAAGGGUCACCUGUCCCUGGGACAGCCCCACACCCAUGGGGUGAUCCCGGUCCCAUCCCGAACCUCAGAGUGAGGGUUUGGAUCCUCCUCCAGCUGAUUUGGGAUCAGGAUUCCCGAAAUCCCACCCCUCAUCCCAAGAAGUCACCUCCCUGCUGUCCCCGGGACAGCCCCAAACCCACGGGAUGAUCCCAGUCCAUCCCAGACCUCAGGGUUUGGAUUCUCCAGCUGAUUUGGGACCAGGAUUCCAUAAAUUCCAUCCCAUCCCAAGAAGAGUCUCCUCCCUCUAGGACAGCCUCACAUCCAUGGGAUGAUCCCAGACCAUC